GGGAGCCAAACACCCUAAUCUGACCUAACUCCACUCUUCCAUCUCAUUUCCAUAAAACAACAGAUCUCUACCCCUUUCUUGAGCAGCCACGAGCCUCUACUAGGGUUUUGCUCUUACUGUUACGUUGAGCUAGGAGGACCCGUUGUUCCAAUUCAUUAAGCUAUACUCGGAGCUGCUGUGCUCGCUAAAUCUGGGUUGGGAGUCUUGUACUAGCUUAUUCCAGGGGCUCGUGGUGGUGCCUCAUCAUAUGGACAUAAUUUCAUGGGCUCUCCAAGGGGGAGUCCACAGUGGUGCCUCAACUAUUGGAGCUAAUUCCAUGAACCUCGAGGUGAGAGUUCGUGGUGGUGCCUCAAGAACAGAACGUAAUUCCACGAGGGUAACGUGGUGGUACCUCAAGGCAGGACGUAAUUCCACGAAGGCCACGUGGUGGUGCCUCGUGUAAGGGUGUAAUUCCGCGAAGGCCUCGUGGUGAUGCUUCACUGCUAGGACUUAAUUCCAUUGUCUUGUGGUGGUGUCUCAUUUUACGUAUCUGGAUAGUCAAGUCUUGAGGUCUCAAUGAUUUGGUAAUCUAUGUGUGAAUGUCUGUUAUUUGUGUCUGACUUUGGAGCUGCAUGUUGACUGUUAUGAUAUGAGAUUCCUUUACAUUAGCUUACCCUUUCGCUUGCUUGUAUGUUGUGUGUGGUUUCCUCUAUUGCGAUGAUCAUCAAUUCUAUUGAUGUGAGCAGAUGAGAGAAUCCCUGGCAGUGGUAAUGUUAGUAGAGACGCUGCAGCUUGAUGAUUGAACGGGUUUUGAGAUCGUUAUGGAGCCUACAGCUGAAGGAGAUUAAUAGUUUAUGAUUCUUUUGUCUUGGACAAUACCUUGUGCUACCUUUAGAACUAUUGCACUUUGUUUUAGGCAGUGUGAUGUCUCUUCUCUUUUGUUAUGGAUAUGUUUGGUGUACUGUGUAUCUUCAUAUCCCAAAUCCUGUACUUUCUGAAUAUUUAUAUA